AGUUGGUCCAAGUGCAGUGGUGUUUACAACUAAUUGAUCACAACCAGUUACAGAUUUCUUUGUUCCUUCUCCACUCCCACUGCUUCACUUGACUAGCCUUAA
ensembl:misc_RNA Y_RNA Y RNA